AAGGAAGGGAAAGAUAGCCGAUAACUAUCUUUUAGCUAGUUCAAGCCUAGCUCUAUCUUU
rnacentral:tRNA from 1 species